rnacentral:rRNA from 1 species
AGGUGCUGCAUGGCUGUCGUCAGCUCGUGUCGUGAGACGUUGGGUUAAGUCCCGCAACGAGCGCAACCCCUACUCUUAGUUGCCAGCGGUUCGGCCGGGAACUCUAAGGGGACUGCCGGUGAUAAACCGGAGGAAGGUGGGGAUGACGUCAAGUCCUCAUGGCCUUUAUGCCCAGGGCUACACACGUGCUACAAUGGGCGGUACAGAGGGUCGCGAUACCGCGAGGUGGAGCCAAUCCCUUAAAGCCGUUCUCAGUUCGGAUUGCAGUCUGCAACUCGACUGCAUGAAGUUGGAAUCGCUAGUAAUCCCGGAUCAGCAUGCCGGGGUGAAUACGUUCCCGGGCCUUGUACACACCGCCCGUCACAUCACGAAAGCUGGUUGCUCUAGAAGUCGCCGGGCUAACCUUCGGGAGGCAGGUGCCGACAGAGUGACUGGUAAUUGGGGUGAAGUCGUAACAAGGUA